UACGUAGGGGGCAAGCGUUGUCCGGAAUCAUUGGGCGUAAAGCGCGUGUAGGCGGCCCGGUAAGUCCGCUGUGAAAGUCCAGGGCUCAACCCUGGAAUGCCGGUGGAUACUGUCGGGCUCGAGUCCGGAAGAGGCGAGUGGAAUUCUCGGUGUAGCGGUGAAAUGCGUAGAUAUCGAGAGGAACACCUGCGGCGAAGGCGGGUUGCUGGGCUGACACUGACGCUGAUUGUGCGAAAGCUAGGGGAGCGAACGGG
rnacentral:rRNA from 1 species